AGAUUGAACGCUGGCGGCAUGCUUUACACAUGCAAGUCGUGCGGCAGCGCGGGGGCAACCCUGGCGGCGAGCGGCGAACGGGUGAGGAAUACAUCGGAACGUACCCCGGAGUGGGGGAUAACCCAGCGAAAGUUGGACUAAUACCGCAUAUGCUCUGAGGAGGAAAGCAGGGGACUUCGCAAGGAGGCCUUGCGCU
rnacentral:rRNA from 1 species